rnacentral:rRNA from 1 species
AUUGAACGCUGGCGGCAUGCUUUACACAUGCAAGUCGAACGGUAACAGGGAGCUUGCUCCGCUGACGAGUGGCGAACGGGUGAGUAAUAUAUCGGAACGUACCCAGAAGUGGGGGAUAACGUAGCGAAAGUUACGCUAAUACCGCAUACGAUCCACGGAUGAAAGUAGGGGACCUUCGGGCCUUAUGCUUUUGGAGCGGCCGAUAUCUGAUUAGCUAGUUGGUGAGGUAAAGGCGCACCAAGGCGACGAUCAGUAGCUGGUCUGAGAGGACGACCAGCCACACUGGAACUGAGACACGGUCCAGACUCCUACGGGAGGCAGCAGUGGGGAAUUUUGGACAAUGGGCGCAAGCCUGAUCCAGCAAUGCCGCGUGAGUGAAGAAGGCCUUCGGGUUGUAAAGCUCUUUUGUCAGGGAAGAAACGGGAGUGGCUAAUAUCCAUUCUUAAUGACGGUACCUGAAGAAUAAGCACCGGCUGACUACGUGCCAGCCGCCGCGGUAA